rnacentral:rRNA from 1 species
AGCAGCCGCGGUAAUUCCAGCUCCAAUAGCGUAUAUUAAAGUUGUUGCAGUUAAAAAGCUCGUAGUUGAAUUUCGGGAUUGGCGCAUCGGUCGUGCCUUACGGGGUAUGAACUGGUGUAGUCAAUUUCUCACCUUCUGGAGAACCGCGAUGUCCUUAAUUGGGUGCCGCGGGGAACCAGGACCUUUACUUUGAAAAAAAUUAGAGUGUUUAAAGCAGGCAUUUUUGCUUGAAUACAUUAGCAUGGAAUAAUAAAAUAGGACGGCAUGGUUCUAUUUUGUUGGUUUCUAGGACCACCGUAAUGAUUAAUAGGGAUAGUUGGGGGGCAUUAGUAUUCAAUUGUCAGAGGUGAAAUUCUUGGAUUUAUUGAAGACUAACUACUGCGAAAGCAUUUGCCAAGGAUGUUUUCAUUAAUCAAGAACGAAAGUUAGGGGAUCGAAGACGAUCAGAUACCGUCGUAGUCUUAACCAUAAACUAUGCCGACUAGGAAUCAGACGAUGUUAAUUUUUUAAUGACUCGUUU